AACGCUAGCUACAGGCUUAACACAUGCAAGUCGCGGGGUAACAUCUGGUAGAGCUUGCUCUUCCAGGAUGACGACCGGCGCACGGGUGAGUAACGCGUAUCCAACCUGGCCCAUACCACGGGAUAGCCCGUCGAAAGGCGGAUUAAUACCGUAUGCUGUCAUUAAGAUGCAUAUAUUGAUGACGAAAGGACUGGCGGUAUGGGAUGGGGAUGCGUCUGAUUAGCUUGUUGGCGGGGUAACGGCCCACCAAGGCGACGAUCAGUAGGGGUUCUGAGAGGAAGGUCCCCCACAUUGGAACUGAGACACGGUCCAAACUCCUACGGGAGGCAGCAGUGAGGAAUAUUGGUCAAUGGGCGCAAGCCUGAACCAGCCAAGUAGCGUGAGGGAAGACUGCCCUACGGGUUGUAAACCUCUUUUGUUUGGGAAUAAAGUGCGGGACGCGUCCCGCAUUGCAUGUACCAUUUGAAUAAGGACCGGCUAAUUCCGUGCCAGCAGCCGCGGUAAUACGGAAGGUCCGGGCGUUAUCCGGAUUUAUUGGGUUUAAAGGGAGCGCAGGUCGUGGGUUAAGCGUGUCGUGAAAUUCCGUCGCUCAACGGCGGACGUGCGGCGCGAACUGGUCCACUUGAGUACGCGGGAGGUAGGCGGAAUUCGUGGUGUAGCGGUGAAAUGCUUAGAUAUCACGAAGAACUCCGAUUG
rnacentral:rRNA from 1 species